UACGUAGGGGGCAAGCGUUGUCCGGAUUUAUUGGGCGUAAAGAGCGUGUAGGCGGCUAGGUAGGUCCGUUGUGAAAACUCGAGGCUCAACCUCGAGACGUCGAUGGAAACCAUCUAGCUAGAGUCCGGAAGAGGAGAGUGGAAUUCCUGGUGUAGCGGUGAAAUGCGCAGAUAUCAGGAGGAACACCGGUGGCGAAGGCGGUUCUCUGGGCAUUACCUGACGCUGAGGAGCGAAAGUGUGGGGAGCGAACAGG
rnacentral:rRNA from 1 species